rnacentral:lncRNA from 1 species
GCUAAGGUAAUGCUGUUGCUCUUUCAUUUUCCUUUUUUAACCUAUGAUUUUGUAUAUCGCGUCAAUGGUUCUUUCUGUGUGUAGGUUACUCUAAAAGAUAAAAGCUUGAAAGUAGAUGAGUUCGCUAUUAUCUGGUCGUCAUCGCCUGAUAUUUUGACAUAUAAGUCGUACUUCAGUACUCCAAAGUUAAUAGAAUUUGCAACAGAAGUGCCUGGUGAGAAGGCUUAUGCCUUCUUUUAUCCACCAUUCAGUCCCAUUUACCAUUCUAGUGGGGAUGAAAAGCCUCCAUUGUUGCUGGAAAGCCAUGGUAUGUACAAGGCAGCUUAAAUUUGACAAUGGUGGCUAAAUAGCGAUGUGACUUAGUUCCUGUUCUUUUAAUAAAAAAAAAAACAGAAUUUUUAGCAAUAGUUACAUUUCACACGGUAGGAACUAUCAUUUAAGAUGAUCAACUAAUGAUCAAAAGACUUUUGACGAGAAUUAUUCCUACAAUUCAAACACACUGGUCAUUGAUACUCAUGAACAUCUGUAUUUAUAUAUGAUUUUCUAGUAUUUUUCGAAAAUGUUAGUCAUUGAUUUCUUGGACAAAGACGGUCCAUGACGCUAAAAUCUCAAGGUGCUCACAUUUUAUUUAAAAUGGGUUUCAUCUUUGUUAAAUAAAUAUUUAGAUUCCUAACUAAAUUUAAAAAACUAAAACAAGUUUAGAAACUACAUUUUACAAAAAUAUAUUUCAAAAGUGUGCCUUAUUUUUUAAAAUUUGGCUAAAUUCAAACUUAUCUUUAGGAAAUGUGAAAACAAUACUAAAGAAUCAGUUAGGAAAAGUUUAAAUUUUGAAAUAGAACUCUAAAAAUGAACUUGUCAUUAAACAAAGGCAUAAGUAGCUUCCCUAUACUUUGGUUGCCAGCACCGUUAAAUUCUCAUAUUUAUUGCUUUCUCCUUGUUUAUAUAGUUUAUGUUUGAGUUAUGACAGGAGGCCCAACGGAUGAAGCGCGUGGAAUAUUAAAUCUAAGAAUUCAGUAUUGGACUAGUCGAGGAUGGGCUUUUGUCAAUGUUAACUAUGGAGGAAGCUCUGGUAUGUAUACUUGUGCAUUAUUAUUUUGCAGAAGUUUUCGGAGUUUUAAUAUAAUAGUACAAUUUUCCCAUUGGAAUGUCUUAAUUAUGGUUCUCUAAUGUCAAAUUUCAGCUUUUGACAUACUAACAAUAUAUGCAUGAUAUGAAUAGAUUUUGGAUUUUUAGCCUAGUUAAAGUUUUCAUUUAGAUAUUCUUGAAGCGAUUGUGCAUUGGUUCACUCUAAAUUAUAUUGGUGUAAGUGGUGGAUGAUACUUAUGCAAAUUCUUCUUAUUUUCAUUUCCUCUGCAUGAACCGCCAAUUGUGGUGCUAUUUAACUAAUGUGCCUAUCCUAAUAACUAUUGUGGUUUGUUUUGUUUAUUGAAGAAAAAAGGUGCAUUUUUGUGUUAGUAUAUUGUAUCAAGAAGUUUUUCUUUUCUGAAGGUUACGGGAGGGCCUAUCGAGAAAGGCUUUUGAGGAAGUGGGGAAUUGUUGAUAUCAAUGACUGUUGCAGCUGUGCAAGAUAUUUGGUGGAUCUCUUUUGACAUCUAUUUUCCUUCAAAACUUGAAAGUUGUGCUCAAUUCUUAAUAACAUGUUUGAAACAUUAUACUUAAUACUUAUUUGUGUAGGUCGAUUCAGGAUUAGUUGAUGCAGAACGAUUAUGCAUCGAUGGGGAAUCUGCUGGGGGAUACACUACACUAGCUGCUCUUGCUUUCAGAGAUACAUUUAAGGCAGGAGCUUCCUUGUAUGGUGUAAGUGACCAAUCAUAUAGUUGAUUCUAAAGUAUAAUUAUAAUAAUUUGUAUCAAAGCAUGGUUCUUAAAUGAUGUCUUGAUUGUGUCACUGAUGGUGUAUCUCUUUGCAAAGGGACUUUAUUCUUUUUUUAUUGUGUAAUACCUUUUGUUUUAAAGUGCUGUGUUUUAAGAAUUGCACAUUUCGUCAGCUACCGAUACGUUAGGGAAGAGAUGGAAUCCAUAUCAGAUAUGUAUCUGAUACGGAUUCAUCUAGAUACACCUUGGAUUUGUGUCUGAUAUGUGAUUCUGAGCAACACUUUUAUUUAAUUUAAUCUUGUGAAAAGAUAUGUUGAGAGAUAUAGUUUUAUAUUUUAAAAGUUUAAAUAAAAGAAAAAAAAAACUAUAAGUAAAUCAAAAGCUUAAUAAAGAAAAAAGAAACAAAACAAAAAUUAAGUACCAUGUCUAUCGUUGCCGACGUGUUAGUUGGAGACGAAGAUGAUGCUUGCGAUUAGAGGACCUUGAAAAAAAAGGGAAAUUGGGAAGACGAAGGGUUCAAUAAGAGAAUACAAAAACAAAGAAGAUUAAAUGAAAAGUGAAAAGAC